CUUUAGAUUGCGUGGAAGCAAGGCAAUACUGAAUUUCCCUCUUGAAGUUGGGGAUUCCGAUUCCAAUAAUACCCAGCAGGAAUCUGAAUUGACAGAUGAUAAUAGUGAGUGUAGUAAUAAUAACCAUAGUUCUUCCAAGAAAAGGAAGAUUAAGGAGACAGAUAGCUUGGAAAGCAGCAAUAAUAAGGUCAUAAAGACGGAAAAUCCUUCGCCGGAAAGGGAAGGCAAGGCAGCUCAAUCGACGGAUCCCUUAACUCCGUCGAGUUGGAAGGGGUUUUGG
rnacentral:misc_RNA from 1 species